rnacentral:rRNA from 1 species
CAAUAGCGUAUAUUAAAGUUGUUGCAGUUAAAAAGCUCGUAGUUGAAUUUCGGGUCCCCGCGCUCGGCGCUUCAUUGUGCCGUCGUGGUGUCCCUCCUCGCCGUAAGGCGUCCUUUACUGUGAAAAAAUUAGAGUGUUCAAAGCAGGCAAUCGCUUGAAUACAUUAGCAUGGAAUAAUAAGAUAGGAUCUUGUCUAUUUUGUUGGUUGCGGACAACGAUAAUGAUUAAUAGGGAUAGUUGGGGGUGUCCGUAUUGAGCUGUCAGAGGUGAAAUUCUUGGAUUUGCUCAAGACGAACUACUGCGAAAGCAUUCACCAAGGAUGUGUUCAUUAA